CAACCCUCAGGCCCUGCCUGGCGUUGGAGGACUGCACCGCAGCCUCCCAAAGCAAGCGGCGGCGGCGCCCCAAAACCGAACGCAGUAGUUAUACCUCGUUCUGGGUGUGGGACGUUGCCCGGCCGGAAAACCCCAUCUUUUUAGU
rnacentral:misc_RNA from 1 species